UACGUAGGGUGCAAGCGUUGUCCGGAAUUAUUGGGCGUAAAGAGCUCGUAGGCGGUCUGUCACGUCGGCUGUGAAAUCCCGAGGCUCAACCUCGGGUCUGCAGUCGAUACGGGCAAACUAGAGUAUUGCAGGGGAGACUGAAAUUCCUGGUGUAGCGGUGAAAUGCGCAGAUAUCAGGAGGAACACCGGUGGCGAAGGCGGGUCUCUGGGCAAUAACUGACGCUGAGGAGCGAAAGCGUGGGGAGCGAACAGG
rnacentral:rRNA from 1 species